rnacentral:rRNA from 1 species
GGUCUGAGUGUUGAAGGUGAGGCCUGCCCAAUGGUUGUAUUUAAAAUUGAGUUAUAAAAUAAGUUACUCGACUAAGAACAAUUAAAUGGCCGCGGUAACUCUGACCGCGAUAAUGUAGCGCAAUCAAUAGUCAAUUAAUUGUUGGCAAGUAUGAAUGGCUUAACGAGUACCCCACUGUCUCAAGAUAAAUACCAAUGAAAUUGAAUUCGUAGUGAAGAUGCUACGUACAAAUUGUUAGACGAGAAGACCCCGUUGAGCUUUACUGGAAACUUAUAUUGUUUUUUUUAAUUAAUUGGAUAGGUGCACUAUUUAAUUUUAUGGUAAGAACUAAUAAGAGGUGUAAGUUAGACAGUUUGAUUGGGGCGAUCGCCUUCUAAAGAGUAACGAAGGUGCACAUAAGGUAAAUAUUGUAAUAGAGUAGAAGAAAAGCUUGACAGCAAGAGUAAUUCUCGAGCUGACACGGUAGAGGGUCCGUGGGUUAUAAUGACCCGUUUGUUUAGAGUGGAAUAACUAACGAUCAAUAAAUAAAAGUUACCACGGGGAUAACAGCGUAAUCUCGUUUGAGAGUUCGUAUCGAUGACGAUGUUUGCGACCUCGAUGUUGAAUUGCGGUUUCCUGGGGGUGCAGCAGCUCCCAAGGGUUGGACUGUUCGUCCAUUAAAACCGU